GCCUGGGUGGCUCAGUCAGUUGAGCGUCUGACUUCGGCUCAGGUCAUGAUCUCCUGGUUCGUGAGUUCGAACCCUGCAUCUGGCU
rnacentral:tRNA from 1 species